UCCCUGGUGGUCUAGUGGUUAAGAAUCUGCCUGCCAAUCAGGGGACACAGGUUCAAUUCCUGGUCAGGGAA
rnacentral:tRNA from 1 species